UGCACUAUUGUAAUGUGACUGUUCCACUGGAUGUCAUAAGGUGAAUGUACCAAUUUGUAAGUCGCUCUGGAUAAGAGCGUCUGCUAAAUGACUUAAAUGUAAUGUAAAUGUAUGUAAUCUCUUUUAUAAUCUGACUCUAUUACCAUGUCUACUUUGUCUGCAAAAGUUCAUAACCAAAUUCCUGUUUUGAUAAACGUAUGUGUCACAGAAACCAUGUGCUACUUGUAUGUGAAGAUGCCUUUGCUGUCUGUGUUGAUGGCCUACUCUGAUGGAAUGCAGUAAUGAAUCAGAGUGCCUCUAAGUGACUCUGUUCAUUCAUUUCAGGGAAGAGACUUGUAUACUGCCCUGACAAAUGAGGCCUAUGAGGAGUUCCGACAUGGUUCCGUCUGGCCCCAGAAGCUGCCGAUGGAACCCAGUGCCCGCUAUGUCCCAAGUGGACUCUCUGCCACAGAGGUUUUCCCGAGCAACAAAAGUUGCAACAGGGGCAGAAAGCGAAAUGGCAGAAGUCUCUUUCCAGAAAACUCAAGAUGAUGGAGAGGAAGAACAGUAUCCUCCAUUGAUGGUCCCCCACCAGCAGUCGCUUCCAGACUGCACUCCAGACUGCAGAGUAACAGAUUGAUGGUCCCCACCAGCAGUCGCUUCCAGACUGCACUCCAGACUGCAGAGAAACAGAUUGAGGACCAAUCUGAAGGAAACCUUCAGUCUGCAGCUAGAACAGAGGUUCCUCUGUGGCCUGAUGACAAAAUAUGCAGUAUAUAUACACUGCUCAAAAAAAUAAAGGGAACACUCUAGUGGUAGCAUGAGACCGAAUC